UACGUAGGGUGCAAGCGUUAAUCGGAAUUACUGGGCGUAAAGCGUGCGCAGGCGGUUUUGUAAGUCUGACGUGAAAUCCCCGGGCUCAACCUGGGAAUUGCGGUGGAGACUGCAAGGCUAGAAUCUGGCAGAGGGGGGUAGAAUUCCACGUGUAGCAGUGAAAUGCGUAGAGAUGUGGAGGAACACCGAUGGCGAAGGCAGCCCCCUGGGUCAAGAUUGACGCUAAUGCACGAAAGCGUGGGGAGCAAACAGG
rnacentral:rRNA from 1 species